AACGAACGCUGGCGGCGUGCCUAACACAUGCAAGUCGAACGGAUUUGAGGGGCUUGCUCCUCAAGUUAGUGGCGCACGGGUGAGUAACGCGUAGAUAAUCUGCCUGAUGAUCCGGAAUAACACUUCGAAAGGGGUGCUAAUACCGGAUAAGCCCACGGGGUCUUUGGACUUUGCGGGAAAAGGGGGGGACCUUCGGGCCUUCUGUCAUCAUAUGAGUCUGCGUACCAUUAGCUAGUUGGUAGGGUAAAGGCCUACCAAGGCUACGAUGGUUAGCUGGUUUGAGAGAAGGAUCAGCCACACUGGAACUGAGACACGGUCCAGACUCCUACGGGAGGCAGCAGUGGGGAAUUUUGCGCAAUGGGCGAAAGCCUGACGCAGCAACGCCGCGUGAGUGACGAAGGCUUUCGGGUCGUAAAGCUCUGUCGAGGGGAAAGAAGUGUACGGGGGCUAAUAUCCUCUGUGCUUGACGGUACCCCUAAAGGAAGCACCGGCUAACUCCGUGCCAGCAGCCGCCGUAAUAC
rnacentral:rRNA from 1 species